UACGGAGGGUGCAAGCGUUAUCCGGAUUCACUGGGUUUAAAGGGUGCGUAGGCGGCGUGGUAAGUCGGAUGUGAAAUCUCGGAGCUUAACUCCGAAACUGCAUUCGAUACUGCCGUGCUUGAGGACUGGAGAGGAGACUGGAAUUUACGGUGUAGCGGUGAAAUGCGUAGAUAUCGUAAGGAAGACCAGUGGCGAAGGCGGGUCUCUGGACAGUUCCUGACGCUGAGGCACGAAGGCUAGGGGAGCAAACGGG
rnacentral:rRNA from 1 species